CAGCUAUAAAGUUAGUUUUGUUGUGCUGCAGUCACUUCCAUGUUUGAGAUUAGCACCAUAAUUACGGUUCCAAAUUUCUUUAGUAAUUACACUUCUGGCCUCCUUAUCUAUAAUUUAGAGACCAUGGAGAGACAUUGGUGGAAAGAGACAAUUCAUCACAUAUCUCCUCCUCCACCCUAAGAUGUGGAGGAGCUGCUCCAGUCACCAGCACUGUAACCCACAGACAGGAGGCCAAGACCCACCACCCACCCACCAGCCUGUGUCAGCUUCCAAUGCUAUGUCUGCUAACACGACAAGAUUUUGGGGAAUGACAGAGGCUGGUAACUAAUGGGAAUGUGUUCCAAGCAACUAAGAGAUUCCACCUUCCCAAUGAAAUGAGGAUUUUUGAGCUAAUAUAGUCUUAACACAAAUAAGUAAUAGUAAUUAAGAUGAAAUUUUAAAGAUUACUAAUAGAAAUCUAUAUUUAACAUCACUAAUACUAA
rnacentral:lncRNA from 1 species